UAGCCUGAAUCAUAUGCCACAGUCCAUUUAGUGUUCCAUUCUGCUUAACUGUGUUUUUAACUAAGAUUUCUAGACUUCUGGAAGAAACCUUUCCAAAAAUGGAAUAUCUUUGUGGAGGAUGGCUCUUGCAUAAGGCAACAGGUGGCAGUGGUCGACGAAAGCUCACUGUAAUUCCACCUGAAACAGAAGGAUAUUCUGUCAAAACACUGAAAGCUGUGUCAGGAGGUGGCAAAUCCACUUUUUACAUUGUACCUCUUCAGGAAACAUUAGACACAUCUCCUCUACCUCCCGACUCACAGCACUUUUCAAAGAUGCCAAAGAAGAUAUGUUACCAGUGUAAUGAAGUUAUGCCUCUGCAGAUGCUUGCAGUACACAUCAAUACGUGCAAAGGAAAAUUCUCUCCUGAUGAGACUGAUGAUGAGGAAUCUGAGUUAUGCAUUGUGAAAAGCAAAUGCAAGGUAAACCUAGCACAUUACUAAAAACCAUAGUAACUACAAUGAAUUUUGUAUC